CCAAAUUGAAAACCUAAUUCCCAAAAAAUCAACCACUAAGUUCAAGGAUUCAAGCUCAACCCAAUUAUCCACGAUGCAUAUGACACAAUCCCACGAUCCCAGUUGCAUCUUCUUCGACAUCAACAUCCACUUGAUCAGUUGCAUACUACCAAUGUUCUAGAUGAGUAGCUAACACCGGCAGUAACCCUAUGAGAUUUUUUCUCACAAGCUGCUUAUUUUGUAGAGCUCUUUAAGAUGAAUUUUUUUACGAAAUAAAAGAAGAAAGAAAGAGUACUAGCCAUAAUCGAAUUCGUCUGUGCAGGAGCUUGGGAUUUGAGAGUAAGCAUGACUUUGAGAAGAUCUCUUAUUGUGUUCAAUUGGGUCUCACUUAAAUCUUGGUAAUAACUUGUUCAUGGUAACUUAACUUGAAUCUGAAUGGGUAGAUUAUGACUUGGGUGAAGAGGAGUAGAAAGGCAAAUGAUUAAGCAUUUGAUUCUAUGUUUUUUAUGAUAGAGAAUCUGCGAGUUGAAAAAAAUUACCCUACUUAUUUUUCUAAUUGUUUUUGGGCUUAUGGAAUACUAAUUUUGUUGAUUAUCUCUUAUAUUUUCACUUGUAUAAAUUCGUCGUUAAUAUCUUAUGGGUGGUUAAGGAUUUGAUUUGUUGCUUCUCUAAUUUUGGCUACUCUGUUUGGAAGUGGCAUCAUAUAGAAUACUAUAUUGUUUGGGUAGGUCCAAAACUCAUCCAAACCAAUCCAAAUAUGAAUCAUCUGAAAU
rnacentral:lncRNA from 1 species